UGCGUAGGCGGUUACUUAAGUAGGGUGUGAAAUGUCCCGGCUCAACCGGGGAAUGGCGCUCUAAACUGGGUGGCUUGAGUGAGAUAGAGGUGUGCGGAACUUCCGGUGGAGCGGUGAAAUGUGUUGAUAUCGGAGGGAACACCAUUGGCGAAAGCGGCACACUGGGUCUCAACUGACGCUGAGGCACAAAAGCCAGGGGAGCAAACG
rnacentral:rRNA from 1 species